rnacentral:misc_RNA from 1 species
GUGUGUAAUUUACAUUCCAUGGAGACACUAGUAAAAGAGAAGAAUUAUAAGAAAAGAAUUGGAAUUUGGAACCAAACAUAAACCCUAAAACCCCCCAAAAACAAAAUUAACAAAAAGAACCACUAAAUCCUGUUUUCCAACUAUAUCCCCGGACAAAAAGAACUUAAAAUCCCAAAACCCCAAUAAACAAUUUGAUGUUUGCUGUCCCCAGGUAAACUCCAUAUUCAAGAUCAGAGCAAGAUAAUGGCUUGCAAACUCAAGCAUUCCAGAAACGGAGAAUGUACAAGGUGUGCCCAAACAAAAAUGCAACCUUAAUGCAUUAUUAACAAAGAAUCAAUGAUAAUCACCCUCCUCUCUAC